AUUAGAUUGGCAGAGGUAAUGUAUUAAUUUUAGAAAUUAAUUAUGUAAUUUAAAUUUACAUCUAGUA
rnacentral:tRNA from 1 species